rnacentral:rRNA from 1 species
GACGAACGCUGGCGGCGUGCUUAACACAUGCAAGUCGAACGGAAAGGCCCUGCUUUUGUGGGGUGCUCGAGUGGCGAACGGGUGAGUAACACGUGAGUAACCUGCCCUUCACUUUGGGAUAACUUCAGGAAACUGGGGCUAAUACCGGAUAGGAGCUCCUGCUGCUUGGUGGGGGUUGGAAAGUUUCGGCGGUUGGGGAUGGACUCGCGGCGUAUCAGCUUGUUGGUUGGGUAGUGGCUUACCAUGGCUUUGAAGGGUAGCCGGCCUGGGAGGGUGACCGGCCACGUUGGGACUGAGAUACGGCCCAGACUCCUACGGGAGGCAGCGGUGGGGAAGAGUGCACAAUGGGCGGAAGCCUGAUGCAGCAACGCCGCGUGCGGGAUGACGGCCUUCGGGUUGUAAUCCGCUUUCGCCUGUGACGAAGCGUGAGUGACGGUAAUGGGUAAAGAAGCACCGGCUAACUACGUG